UCCCUCAGUAACGGCGAGCGAAGCGGGAAUAGCUCAAAUUUGAAAUCUCCGGUGCCUGCACCGGCGAAUUGUAGUCUGUAGGGCCAGUUUCGCCCGAGACGGUGUCCCCAAAGUCGUCCUGGAAAGGCGGGCCAGAGAGGGUGAGAGCCCCGUGUGCGGGGGCACCGUCGGAGGUAAGAUCUGUGCCCGAAGAGUCGGGUUGUUUGGGAUUGCAGCCCAAAAUGGGUGGUAAACUCCAUCUAAAGCUAAAUAUUGGCACGAGACCGAUAGCGAACAAGUACCGUGAGGGGAAAGAUGAAAAGCACUUUGAAAAGAGAGUCAAACAGUACGUGAAACCGUCAGGGGGGAAACGAACGAGGUUGGUGCAGUGCCCGCGCAGGUUCAAGCCCUGCCGAGGGUGCCAUCACGGUGAUGAUCAUCAUCCCGGGAUGUCCGCCCGAGGCAGUGCCGUAUUCCUCGUGGGCACGGACCAGCAGCGGUUAGACCGGAGCCAUAAGGCGCGGUGGAAGGUGAGUUGAUGCCGGCCCGUCCUGCAUUGACAGCUUAUAGCCCCGUUGCACGGCGCUCCGGACUGACCGAGGAAGAUGGGCAGCCAUUGCCCGGCACGGCACACGCCACACGGCGGGGCCUUCCGACACGAGUGAACCGUGCGGUGUGGACUGCACGCAGUGCUAGCCGUGGCGGCGAUCUCGUGUCGGUGUGUGCCACUUGUGUGCCAGAGCUGCUGGUAUUCAGACGGCCUCGUCCGACCCGUCUUGAAACACGGACCAAGGAGUGCAACAUGUGCGCGAGCCCUUUGGCGAGUAAACCAGAAGGCGCAAUGAAAGUGAAGGCACGGUCGCCGUGCUGAGGUGAGAGCUGUCUCUUGGCAGCACAUCAUCGACCGAUCCCAUUCACGCCCCCGUGGUGUGGCAGGAUUCGAGUAAGAGUGUACCUGUUGCGACCCGAAAGAUGGUGAACUAUGCCUGAAUAGGGUGAAGCCAGAGGAAACUCUGGUGGAGGCCCGUAGCGAUUCUGACGUGCAAAUCGAUCGUCAAAUUUGGGUAUAGGGCGAAAGACUA
rnacentral:rRNA from 1 species